rnacentral:lncRNA from 1 species
AUUUGAGAAAAAGUGGAAAAAAUAAAAAAAUAGGACCAUAUGGCUGUGUAGGAGGGUUUAGACCGUGUGACAGGGGUAUACGACCGUCUGACUAAGAGACAUGGCCUUGUGGCUGAAGUAGCAAAAAGAAGAUGAUGGAAAAAGAAGUAUUCAGUAGCAAAAAGAGUCAAAAUCGAAAAAUGGAAGAGUGAGAAAAAAGAAGUAACAUGAAAGAAAGUGAGGGAGACAUGAGAGGAUUUUGGGGAUUAUUUUCUAAAAUUAGAAUUCCCACUAAAAAUCAAACUAACCUCCUAUCAAAUACUCCAAAAUUCAAAUAAAUUGAACCACAUGGC